AAGCAUUAUCCAGCUAUUCCAUCGACUGGUGUAUUGUCUGCUCCGCCUAUUCGGCCACAAAUUCCCCCUCCAAAUGGUGUUCAACCACUCUUUGUCACUGCUCCUGUUGCAGCUUCAAUGCCUUUCCCUUCACCAGUUCCUAUUCCCCCUGUUUCUACUGGAUGGCCUGCAGCUCCUCCAAGGCAUCCUCCAAAUCGUUUUCCUGUCCUUGUCCCUGGCACUGGUGUUUUCCUUCCUCCACCAGG
rnacentral:misc_RNA from 1 species